rnacentral:tRNA from 1 species
GGUGGGGUUCCCGAGCGGCCAAAGGGAGCAGACUGUAAAUCUGCCGUCAUCGACUUCGAAGGUUCGAAUCCUUCCCCCCG